AGUCCUCCGCGGAAGAUUACUUUUCAAAUGCUCAGGAUGGGAUUAAUUACGACGCUACUAUGGUUCCUUCAAGUUCUUCAUGUGAGUUUGUUUCCAAAUUCUACAAAUUUCUUUGAAAUCCAUCCCUACUAAUUGUGAAGAACUAGGGUUUGCGGCUCUCUUUCCCUCAAGCUGCGUCGACGUCUUCCAAAUCUGAGCAUCAACUUUCUGAUCUGUCGAGUCUCAUUUGUUUUGGGCAUCAACUUUCUGAUCUGGCGACUUCAGUGGCGUCUUCCAGACUCACUCCACGCCAACCCCGGCCUUCUCCAUCUCGCCAUUUAUGUUUUCAGGAGAAAAAUUGCACUGCUGAUUCUUUAGCACAUUGAAACUUGUGGUAUUGAAAUUAAGGCUCUUAUGUGAAAUUGCAUUCUGUAGCUCAUGGUGUUCAAUUCUAGUCUGAUCCUCCAAAUGAGAUAUUGAGUUUCCUCACAGCAGAUGCAGUGGCAGUGACUUUGUGUUAACUCAGGAACGAAGUGCUUUGGAAUGUUAAUCAGAUUACAAGCUCUGCUUCCUCCUUCCCGCAUCAGUAGCUAGCUGCCAAAGUUAGUGACCAUCCAGCCCAUUUUGACUACUCUUCAACAGUUUCUGUGGCUGAUUUGUUGAAAUGGCCCAAGCCUGCUUCGAGAUUCUUGAAAUGCAAUACAGAAGCUUGUCCCCGUCCAGAUCAUAACAAAAUUGAGCGGGUUGGGUUCUUUGUGAUUAGAGAGGACAGCUGAUUAAGACUUGCUAAAUUGAGCUUCUUGGUCCACAUGAUCCGAAAAUGGCUGAAGCUCUCCCUCUCCAAGAAGCUCUUAGCAUGAUUGAUGAAAGAGGCAUGCAUAUCACCUAAUUUAUUAACUUAUUCAACCUUGAUUGAAUGCUGAUGUUGUUCCUUAUACUGAUGUUAUAGAUAAACUGUGCAAGAAUGGAUUAGUGAAAUCUGCUGUAACUUUAUUUGAUGAGAUGACUAAGUAGGGAAUCAAGCCUAAUGUUGUCACUUACAAGGGAACUCAAGAAAAUUACAGUGGCAAGCAGGAAAUUUUGUCCAUCUUAAAUGCUUGCAGUCGCUGAGAUUCCUUUGAAGAUGCUUCGAUUUUAUUGGAGGAGCUUUGAUUAUUUGAUAAUCAGGCGUAUGGUGUAGCACACGUACUUACAAUGGCUUUCGCAAUGUAAUUUUAGAGUCUGAUUCUUUGCUGUUGGUACAAGCCCUCCACUCCAAUCAGCCUGAUCUCUCUUAUUUUGAUUCUAUUGUCACUGAUUGUAAAUUUUCUUCUUAAUUAAUUCUGCUCUAUUUCUUUUACUCGUCCAUUGCUCAACACAUACAAUUUAGUUUUUUUGUCAAAUCUCCGGGAGUGGGUUCCUGCACUGUUGUCCAUUGCUUAACACAUAAUUAGUUUUUAGUUUAAUCUCCAGAAGUGAGGUCCUGUCACUCGUGAUUUCUUACGAUAAUUUAUCUUAAUGCAAUUUCCUUUUGUUUAUAUAUAUACUACAAUUGCCACAAAUGAGAUAUAAUGAGCAUCUCAAGUUUGUGAA